rnacentral:rRNA from 1 species
UACAGAGGGUGCGAGCGUUAAUCGGAAUUACUGGGCGUAAAGGGCGCGUAGGCGGCUUUGCAAGUCGGGUGUGAAAUCCCCAGGCUUAACCUGGGAACUGCAUUCGAGACUGCAUUGCUAUAGUAUGGGAGAGGGAAGUGGAAUUUCCGGUGUAGCGGUGAAAUGCGUAGAUAUCGGUAGGAACAUCAGUGGCGAAAGCGACUUCCUGGACCAAUACUGACGCUCAUGUGCGAAAGCGUGGGGAGCAAACAGG